rnacentral:rRNA from 1 species
GGAAUAUUGGACAAUGGGCGAAAGCCUGAUCCAGCCAUGCCGCGUGUGUGAAGAAGGUCUUCGGAUUGUAAAGCACUUUAAGUUGGGAGGAAGGGUAUUAACCUAAUACGUUAGUACUUUGACGUUACCGACAGAAUAAGCACCGGCUAACUCUGUGCCAGCAGCCGCGGUAAUACAGAGGGUGCAAGCGUUAAUCGGAAUUACUGGGCGUAAAGCGCGCGUAGGUGGUUUGUUAAGUUGAAUGUGAAAUCCCCGGGCUCAACCUGGGAACUGCAUCCAAAACUGGCAAGCUAGAGUAUGGUAGAGGGUAGUGGAAUUUCCUGUGUAGCGGUGAAAUGCGUAGAUAUAGGAAGGAACACCAGUGGCGAAGGCGACUACCUGGACUGAUACUGACACUGAGGUGCGAAAGCGUGGGGAGCAAACAGGAUUAGAUACCCGGG